UGGAUCAUUAACCCCCUCAGUGUCAGAUGGGGUGGGGGUUUGGGUUACUCACAAUCAAAUGCUUCAAUUUUUGCCUAAAUAUGGUUAAUCAAAAUCAUCAGUCAGGAAAAAUAUGAAUCUGGACAAAUGAUGUUUUUUCUAUAAACCCUUUUAUAGCGGGUCACCCCCCCCCAUCUCUAGUUAUAAGGUGCCAGAGGCUGAUGGGCCCCUGCAUGAUAGGGCGUUCCCUCUGGCUGAACCAGACACGGCUAUUUAUUAGUUAAUCCUGGAGUUUUAUUGCCUCCUCUGCCCCCUCAGCUGUAGCCAAUUCUCUCACUUUAUAAGCCACUCACUCCCUGGGCUCAUUGUUUGGCCAUUAGAUUCUGUUCUGGUGAUUUAGGCAGUUCCUGGGUACUGAUCCGGCCUGACUGACCCGAUGCCCAAGCCAUGAUACCUUUACCAAAGAAGCCCUUGCUGCUGGUGUGUUUGUAUCCUUGGGACACCUGCCUGCAAUGUCUGCUAUUGGGGGUUUAUGCCCAGGACUGGGCUGAAGGUGCUACAAGCAGACUUGGUACAUCCCUGUCUAUUUCUGACUCUUCUCCAAGGUAAAGUGCCCCGGGGCUUUGUGAGCAGCUCCUUCUGGGAUCCUUUCUGAGGAAUCUUCAUCCUUCUGGGUAACCUCUCUAAUCAUCUGCUCCUACUGUUGGUGGCCCCCAGGGAUGCUGUUGGUGGCCCCCAGAGAUGCUGUUGGUGGCCCCCAGGGAUGCUGUUGGUGGCCCCCAGAGAUGCUGUUGGUGGCCCCCAGGGAUGCUGUUGGUGGCCCCCAGAGAUGCUGUUGGUGGCCCCCAGGGAUGCUGUUGGUGGCCCCCAGAGAUGCUGUUGCCCUUCUCAGUCUGUUGCAGUUCCAAACGAGGGGGCCCUUAAGGCGGCUGCACCCGGGAGGGUAUGGAACUCUCUCAUUAUGAAUCUAGGAGGAUCUUGGUUCGUUCAAAGAUGAAGAGACUCGACUCCAUGCAGCUCAGAGAGGCAGCCCCACAGCCGCAUGUCUGGGAACCCACAGGAUUGGCUUUGCCUACAGCUGAGGCUCCGAUAUCUGAUGGUCAAUUCCUGUCGUGUUACUGAUGUCCAGGGAGCCAUGUAUUUCCCCCGGCUUCUAUUUGGUCAGUUAUUUAGGGUUAAUGUCAAAGCUGCUGAUGGACACCUGUUUUUUUUUAUAAGAUUGUUAUUGUUAUUA